AGCUCUACAUUCAAAAUUCAGCCUUCUUAGAUGUUGGACAGCUCCGAAAUGCUUUCAAGCAGUAGAUCUGGCUGUUUCAAACUGGUAUCAGGUCUACAUCUAAUGUUUCAAGAGAACAGAAGCCAAGAAGCCUAUAAUGCAUUAUCUCAGCAAAAGAAGUGAAACAUGGACUAUCUGUGAUUUCGCAGCUCUACAUCUUAUUUUGGGCUUGAUUAGAUGUGGGACAUCUCAAAAAUCCU